CUCCGGUGGUGUAGCCCGGUUAGCAAUACUGGCCGAAAAGUCGUUGAUCGCGGGUUCAAAUCCCGCCCGGAG
rnacentral:tRNA from 1 species